AGAGUUUGAUCCUGGCUCAGGACGAACGCUGGCGGCGUGCCUAACACAUGCAAGUCGAGCGAAGUGACUCUGAGAGAAAUUUUCGGAUGGAUCGAAGAGUCAUCUUAGCGGCGGACGGGUGAGUAACGCGUGAGAAACCUGCCUUUCACAAAGGGAUAGCCUCGGGAAACUGGGAUUAAUACCUUAUGAAACUGAAUUACCGCAUGGUAGAUCAGUCAAAGCGAAUAAGCGGUGAAAGAUGGUCUCGCGUCCUAUUAGCUAGUUGGUGAGGUAACGGCUCACCAAGGCUUCGAUAGGUAGCCGGCCUGAGAGGGUGAACGGCCACACUGGAACUGAGACACGGUCCAGACUCCUACGGGAGGCAGCAGUGGGGAAUAUUGCACAAUGGAGGAAACUCUGAUGCAGCGACGCCGCGUGAAUGAUGAAGGCCUUCGGGUUGUAAAGUUCUGUCCUUGGGGAAGAUAAUGACGGUACCCAAGGAGGAAGCCCCGGCUAACUACGUGCCAGCAGCCGCGGUAAUACGUAGGGGGCGAGCGUUGUCCGGAAUUAUUGGGCGUAAAGGGUUCGCAGGCGGUCUGAUAAGUCAGAUGUGAAAGGCGUAGGCUCAACCUACGUAAGCAUUUGAAACUGUCAGACUUGAGUUAAGGAGAGGAAAGUGGAAUUCCUAGUGUAGCGGUGAAAUGCGUAGAUAUUAGGAGGAAUACCAGUGGCGAAGGCGACUUUCUGGACUUAUACUGACGCUGAGGAACGAAAGCGUGGGGAGCAAACAGGAUUAGAUACCCUGGUAGUCCACGCCGUAAACGAUGAGUGCUAGGUGU
rnacentral:rRNA from 1 species